rnacentral:rRNA from 1 species
UACAGAGGGUGCAAGCGUUAAUCGGAAUUACUGGGCGUAAAGCGCACGUAGGCGGUUCAGUAAGUUGGAAGUGAAAUCCCCGGGCUCAACCUGGGAACUGCUUUCAAAACUGCUGAGCUAGAGUACGGUAGAGGGUGGUGGAAUUUCCUGUGUAGCGGUGAAAUGCGUAGAUAUAGGAAGGAACACCAGUGGCGAAGGCGACCACCUGGACUGAUACUGACACUGAGGUGCGAAAGCGUGGGGAGCAAACAGG